rnacentral:rRNA from 1 species
UACGUAGGGGGCAAGCGUUGGCCGGAAUUAUUGGGCGUAAAGCGCGCGCAGGCGGCCUUGUAAGUCUGGUGUUUAAGCUCGGGGCUCAACCCCGAUACGCACCGGAAACUGCAAAGCUAGAGUCCGGAAGAGGAGAGUGGAAUUCCCGGUGUAGCGGUGAAAUGCGCAGAUAUCGGGAAGAACACCUAUGGCGAAGGCAGCUCUCUGGGACGGUACUGACGCUGAGACGCGAAAGCGUGGGGAGCGAACAGG